GAUGAACGCUGACAGAAUGCUUAACACAUGCAAGUCUACUUGAACUUCGGUUUGGGUGGCGGACGGGUGAGUAACGCGUAGAGAACUUGCCUCACAGUUAGGGACAACAUUUGGAAACGAAUGCUAAUACCUGAUAUUAUGAUUUUAGGGCAUCCUAGGUUUAUGAAAGCUAUGUGUGCUGUGAGAGAGCUUUGCGUCCCAUUAGCUAGUUGUAGAGGUAACGGCUCACCAAGGCGAUGAUGGGUAGCCGGCCUGAGAGGGUGAACGGCCACAAGGGAACGGAGACACGGCCCUUACUCCUACGGGAGGCAGCAGUGGGGAAUAUUGGACAAGGGACCAAAAGUCUGAUACAGCAAUUCUGUGUGCACGAUGACGUUUUUCGGAAUGUAAAGUGCUUUCAGUUGGGAAGAAAAAAAUGACGGUACCAACAGAAGAAGUGACGGCUAACUACGUG
rnacentral:rRNA from 1 species